rnacentral:rRNA from 1 species
GACGAACGCUGGCGGCGUGCUUAACACAUGCAAGUCGAACGGAAAGGCCCUGCUUUUGUGGGGUGCUCGAGUGGCGAACGGGUGAGUAACACGUGAGUAACCUGCCCUUGACUUUGGGAUAACUUCAGGAAACUGGGGCUAAUACCGGAUAGGAGCUCCUGCUGCAUGGUGGGGGUUGGAAAGUUUCGGCGGUUGGGGAUGGACUCGCGGCUUAUCAGCUUGUUGGUGGGGUAGUGGCUUACCAAGGCUUUGACGGGUAGCCGGCCUGAGAGGGUGAACGGCCACAUGGGGACUGAGAUACGGCCCAGACUCCUACGGGAGGCAGCAGUGGGGAAUAUUGCACAAUGGGCGGAAGCCUGAUGCAGAAACGCCGCGUGCGGGAUGACGGCCUUCGGGUUGUAAACCGCUUUCGCAGGUGACGAAGCGUGAGUGACGGUAAUGGGUAAAGAAGCACCGGCUAACUACGUG